AGGGUAUGAUACUGCUCAGAACGAACGCUGGCGGCAUGUCUAAGACAUGCAAGUCGAACGAGAAACCCGGUUUCGAUCGGGGAGUAAAGUGGCGAACGGGUGAGGAAUAAUCAGACAACCUGCCCUUGAGUGGGGGACAACCCGGGGAAACCCGGGCUAAUACCGCGUAACGUUGCUUGACGCCUGUUGGGCAACCAAAGGUGGAACCUUCGGGUUCUGUCGCUCGAGGAGGGGUUUGAUUCCUAUCAGCUUGUUGGUGAGGUAACGGCUCACCAAGGCGAUGACGGGUAGUGGGUCUGAGAGGAUGACCCGCCACAUUGGGACUGAGACACUGCCCAGACUCCUACGGGAGGCUGCAGUAAAGAAUCAUUCGCAAUGCCCGAAAGGGUGACGAUGCAAUGCCGCGUGUGGGAUGAAGGCCCUCGGGUUGUAAACCACUGUCACGACACAGGAAGUCCGUCGGUGUUACAGCCGGCGGUUGACCACGUCGAGAGGAAGCUCCGGCUAACUCCGUGCCAGCAGCCGCGGUAAGACGGAGGGAGCAAGCGUUGUUCGGAAUCACUGGGCAUAAAGGGCACGCAGGCGGCUCGGUAAGUCAGAUGUGAAAGCCCUCGGCUUAACUGAGGAAUUGCGUCUGAUACUGUCGGGCUUGAGGGCAGAAGGGGAGAGUGGAAUUCCUGGUGGAGCGGUGAAAUGCGUAGAUAUCAGGAGGAACGCCGGCGGCGAAAGCGACUCUCUGGUCUGUUCCUGACGCUGAGGUGCGAAAGCUAGGGGAGCAAACAGGAUUAGAUACCCUGGUAGUCCUAGCCGUAAACGAUGGGCACUACGUGGAGGGGGGGCCGAACCUCUCUCCGCCGCAGUUAACACAUUAAGUGCCCCGCCUGGGGAGUACGGUCGCAAGGCUGAAACUCAAAGUAAUUGACGGGGGCUCGCACAAGCGGUGGAGCAUGCGCCUUAAUUCGAAGCGACGCGAAGAACCUUAUCCGGGGUUUGACAUGCACGGAUUAGCCCUUCGAAAGUUGGGUGACACCCUUUAGGGUGGAACGUGCACAGGUGCUGCAUGGCCGUCGUCAGCUAGUGUCGUGAGAUGUUGGGUUAAGUCCCGUAACUAGCGAAACCCUUAUCCUUAGUUGCUAACGGGUUAUGCCGAGGACUCUAGGGAGACUGCCUCUGUCAAAGAGGAGGAAGGUGGGGAUGACGUCAGGUCCUCAUGGCCCUUACACCCCGGGCUGGACGCGUGCUACAAUGGCCGGUACAGUGGGCAGCAAUACCGUAAGGUGGAGCAAAUCCUCAAAGCCGGUCUCAGUUCGGAUCGAGGUCUGAAACUCGACCUCGUGAAGCUGGAAUCGCUAGUAAUCGUGGAUCAGCUAUGCCACGGUGAAUGUGUUCCCGAGC
rnacentral:rRNA from 1 species